rnacentral:lncRNA from 1 species
UUUCGGAGAGUUCUGUUAAGCAGUAGUAAUGUGUAUUGUUACCAUAUUUCUGACUUGUAAGUGAAUGUACUAGGAUUUUUGUCAAAAUAUAUUUAUAGAUUUUCGUUAGAGCUUUUGUCAAAAUAGGGACGUUCCUGUGUAUUCCUUGUGUUGUGAUGGCUGAGUCAUCUUACAUCUUGGCUCCGUCACACAGGAGCACCCCACAUGGUGAACAGCGAGGCGCGGCAGGACCCGCGUGCAAAGAGCCUUGCCAGUGGAGGCCGCGCGGAGCUGCAGUGGCUGGCGGGGUCAAGGGAGGGUCCGUCUGAGCCCUUUGGUCCACAGCGCUUCCCCGAAAUUUGCGGGGAAAUCGUUGCAGCUCUCAGGUUUCCAGGAAUUCAUGGAGACAUCUUGAAGCCCGGGAUGGGACCCCGUUUUCCAGCCCGCACACUCGAGUGUGCAGGCGCUGCUGGAAGGCGAACUCUAGCUGGAAACUGCGCAGCACAGGAGCUCUGGAAAAGGAGGCUCCUGGCAGCCGCAACCCAAACCGACCCAGGAAGAACGCGAACCCGGGCCGCAGUGACAAGUGGGGUUUGGAUUUAUGCGUAGGCAGCUGGCGCUGCGCGGUGCUAGGAACUACUCCGUUAUGCUACGUCAGUGCCAAGCUUUGAUGGAUGUGGACUGAGGAGGGGCCACACAGAGUCGCAGUGUGCCAGCAUUCUUGACUCAUCCGAGAGCAAAGC